UGGGGUAUAUUGGACAAUGGAGGAAACUCUGAUCCAGCAAUUCUGUGUGUGUGAAGAAGGUUUUAGGACUGAAAAACACUAUUAGUAGGGAAGAAAAAAAUGACGGUACCUACAGAAGAAGCAACGGCUAAAUACGUGCCAGCAGCCGCGGUAAUACGUAUGUUGCGAGCGUUAUCCGGAAUUAUUGGGCUUAAAGGGCAUCUAGGCGGUAAGACAAGUUGAAGGUGAAAACCUGUGGCUCAACCAUAGGCUUGCCUACAAAACUGUUGAACUAGAGUACUGGAAAGGUGGGUGGAACUACACGAGUAGAGGUGAAAUUAGUAGAUAUGUGUAGGAAUGCCGAUGAUGAAGAUAACUCACUGGACAGAAACUGACGCUGAAGUGCGAAAGCUAGGGGAGCAAACAGG
rnacentral:rRNA from 1 species